UACGUAGGCAGCAAGCGUUGUUCGGAGUUACUGGGCGUAAAGGGUGUGUAGGCGGUUGUUUAAGUUUGGUGUGAAAUCUCCCGGCUCAACUGGGAGGGUGCGCCCGAAUACUGAAUGACUUCGAGUGCGGGAGAGGAAAGUGGAAUUCCUGGUGUAGCGGUGAAAUGCGGUAGAUAUCAGGAGGAACACCGGUGGUGUAGACGGCUUUCUGGACCGUAACUGACGCUGAGACACGAAAGCGUGGGUAGCAAACAGG
rnacentral:rRNA from 1 species